UACGUAGGGCGCAAGCGUUAUCCGGAAUUAUUGGGCGUAAAGAGCUCGUAGGCGGCCUGUCGCGUCCGCUGUGAAAUCCCGGGGCUUAACCCCGGGCCUGCAGUGGAUACGGGCAGGCUGGAGGCAGGCAGGGGGAGAACGGAAUUCCCCGGUGUAGCGGUGAAAUGCGCAGAUAUCGGGGAGGAACACCGGUGGCGAAGGCGGUCUCUGGGCCUGUACUGACGCUGAGGAGCGAAAGCGUGGGGAGCGAACAGGG
rnacentral:rRNA from 1 species